GCACCUCGAUGUCGGCUCGUCACAUCCUGGGGCUGGAGAAGGUCCCAAGGGUUGGGCUGUUCGCCCAUUAAAGUGGCACGCGAGCUGGGUUCAGAACGUCGCAAGACAGUUCGGUCACUAUCUGUUGUGGGCGUUAGAACAUAGAAGAGGUCUGACACUAGUACGAGAGGACCGUGUUGGACGAACCUCUAGUGUACCUGUUGUGGCGCCAGCUGCAUCGCAGGGUAGCUAUGUUCGGAAAGGAUAAGCGCUGAAAGCAUCUAAGCGCGAAGCCUUCUCUAAGAUGAGUAUUCCAUCCUUCGGGAAAAGGGUCGUGGAAGAUGACCACGUAGAUAGGCUACAGGUGGAAGUGCAGUGAUGUAUGGAGCCGAGUAGUACUAAUUACCCGAUAGCUUUCUUUUU
rnacentral:rRNA from 1 species